rnacentral:rRNA from 1 species
CCCUCGGGAUGGGGAUAACCCCGGGAAACUGGGACGAAUACCCACUAGAUGAUUAUACCUGGAAUGGCUUAUCAUCGAAAGACGCUGGAAACAUGCUUCCAGCGUCGCCCGAGGAUGGGACUGCGUCCGAUCAGGUUGUUGGCGGGGUAACGGCCCACCAAGCCUAUAACCGGUACGGGCCCUGAGAGGGGGAGCCCGGAGAUGGAAACUGAGAAAAGGUUCCAGGCCCUACGGGGUGCAGCAGGCGCGAAACCUCCACAAUGCGCGAAAGCGUGAUGGGGUUAUCCCGAGUGCCGUCCGAUGAGGAUGGCUUUUCAUCGGUGUAAGGAUCCGAUGGAAUAAAGGGGGGGCAAGACUGGUGUCAGCCGCCGCGGUAAUACCAGCCCCCUGAGUGGUAAGGACGAUUAUUUGGCCUAAAGCGUCCGUAGCCGGCUUAUCAAGUCUUUUGUUAAAUCCAACGAUUCAAUCGUUGGGCCGCAAAAGAUACUGUUAUGCUAGAGGACGGGAGAGGUCGACGGUAGUCCAGGGGUAGGGGUGAAAUCCUAUAAUCCUUGG